CCCUUAGAUGUUCUGGGCCGCACGCGUGCUACACUGAGUGGAUCAGCGGGUCAGGUUGCGCGAAAGCGUUUCCUAAUCUUUAAAUCCGCUCGUGAUGGGGAUUGACGGUUGCAAUUUUCCGUCAUGAACGAGGAAUACCUUGUAAGCGCGGGUCAUCAUCCCGCGCUGAAUACGUCCCUGCCCUUUGUACACACCGCCCGUCGCUCCUACCGAUUGAGUGGUCCGGUGAGGCUUUGGGAUCUGAGCGGAAAGAGUGUUUCGCUGUUUCUGCCCGGAAAACUCAGUCGAACCUUAUCAUUUAGAGGAAGGAGAAGUCGUAACA
rnacentral:rRNA from 1 species